UACGUAGGAGGCAAGCGUUAUCCGGAGUUACUGGGCGUAAAGCGUGCGUAGGCGGGUUGGUAAGUGGGUGGUGAAAGCGCUCGGCUAAACCGGGCGAGUGCCAUCCAGACUGCCAGUCUAGAGGCGGAUAGAGGGGUGCGGAAUUCCGGGUGUAGCGGUGAAAUGUGUAGAGAUCCGGAGGAACACCAGUGGUGCAAACGGCGCCCUGGGUCCGAACUGACGCUGAUGCACGAAAGCGUGGGGAGCGAACGGG
rnacentral:rRNA from 1 species